ACCAACCAAACUCUUUUCCGACCAGACAUCAUAUAUCUCCAGAGUCCAGACACACACUAAGGGUGAACUCUGUCUAAAAGACACUUUCUUUUCUGAUAACAUCUCUACCAAAAAGUUACUAAAAAUGGAAGGAAGAUCUAUCACCACCUCCGCCGCGGAGUCACCGGAGAUCCAAUACCAUCCACCGAACCCCCCGAACCAGAUCUUCAUCCUCUCCGGACAAAGCAACAUGGCCGGACGCGGCGGCGUCGUCAAGGACCACCACCAAAACCGUUGGGUAUGGGACAAAAUCGUUCCGUCGGAAUGCUCGCCGGACUCGUCGAUCCUCCGCCUGAGAGCAGAUCUCCGGUGGGAGGAAGCGCGUGAGCCGCUCCACGCCGACAUCGACACCGGCAAAGUGUGCGGCGUAGGUCCGGGAAUGGCGUUCGCGAACGCGGUGAGGAAACGAUCCGACUCGGAUUCCGACGUGAUCGGGCUGGUUCCGUGCGCCGUCGGUGGGACGGCGAUAAAAGAGUGGGAGCGCGGGAGCCGUUUGUACGAGACGAUGGUUAAGAGGGCGGAGGAGAGUAGGAGAUACGGAGGAGAGAUCAAGGCGAUGCUUUGGUACCAAGGAGAGAGUGACGUGUCGGACAUCCACGACGCCGAGAGUUACGGGAGGAAUAUGACUCGUUUGGUUAAGAACCUUCGUCAUGAUCUUAACCUUCCUUCUCUUCCCAUUAUUCAGGUGGCGAUAACAUCUGGAGGAGGGUAUAUAGAUAAGGUGAGAGAAGCGCAGCUGGGUCUGAAACUUUCCAAUGUGGUCUGUGUAGAUGCUAAAGGAUUGCAGCUAAAGCCGGAUAAUCUUCACUUGACCACUGAGGCUCAAGUUCAGCUUGGUCUCUCAUUAGCACAAGCUUACCUUUCCAAUUUCUGCUAGACUAUCAAGGUUAAUAGUAAUCACUUUGUUCUGGAGAUGGAGUCUGACAUCAAUGUCAAAAGCGGUUAUUCCUUGUUGAGAAGUGUGAUCGAUGGUAUUUUAAACUCUGCGAAUGUUUGUCUACAUUUCCAAGAAUGAGAUAUGCAGUUUGAGCGAUGGUACUGUUGUAGAGACUACGUAAUCUUUCACCUUUAGAGCACACAUUAUUAUUCCACGUCGUUUCGUUGAAACAAUCUGCUGCUCUUUGUAGAAUAUUUUGAAUAAAAUGGGUUUCAUAUGGACAUGGACAAUUUUUGUUGUUGUUUCUAUUGUAGAAACUAUGUACCAUUUUCACCUACAGAGCACACAUUAUUAUUCUCCAUUGUCACGUUUAAACAAUCUGCUGCUCUUUGUAGAAUAUUUUGAAUAAAAUGUGUUUCAUAUGGACAA